rnacentral:rRNA from 1 species
AGCAGCAGCCGCGGUAAUACGAAGGGGGCUAGCGUUGUUCGGAAUUACUGGGCGUAAAGCGCACGUAGGCGGAUAUUUAAGUCAGGGGUGAAAUCCCGCAGCUCAACUGCGGAACUGCCUUUGAUACUGGGUAUCUUGAGUAUGGAAGAGGUUAGUGGAAUUGCGAGUGUAGAGGUGAAAUUCGUAGAUAUUCGCAGGAACACCAGUGGCGAAGGCGGCUAACUGGUCCAUAACUGACGCUGAGGUGCGAUAGCGUGGGGAGCAAACAGGAUUAGAUACCCCCGUAGUCCCUGUCUCUUAUAA